rnacentral:rRNA from 1 species
GACGAACGCUGGCGGCGUGCUUAACACAUGCAAGUCGAACGGAAAGGCCCUGCUUUUGUGGGGUGCUCGAGUGGCGAACGGGUGAGUAACACGUGAGUAACCUGCCCUUGACUUUGGGAUAACUUCAGGAAACUGGGGCUAAUACCGGCUAGGAGCUCCUGCUGCAUGGUGGGGGUUGGAAAGUUUCGGCGGUUGGGGAUGGACUCGCGGCUUAUCAGCUUGUUGGUGGGGUAGUGGCUUACCAAGGCUUUGACGGGUAGCCGGCCUGAGAGGGUGACCGGCCCCAUUGGGACUGAACUACGGCCCAGACUCCUGCGGGAGGCAGCAGUGGGGAAUAUUGCACAAUGGGCGGAAGCCUGAUGCAGCAACGCCGCGUGCGGGAUGACGGCCUUCGGGUUGUAAACCGCUUUCGCCUGUGACGAAGCGUGAGUGACGGUAAUGGGUAAAGAAGCACCGGCUAACUACGUG